rnacentral:misc_RNA from 1 species
CAGAACAGGAGCAUCAACGUUUACCUUCCGUAGCUCCUCUGAAUAAGCAAUCGCACGGUCUCUCAUCCAGUCAUGCUCUGCUAUCACUGUCAAUGUUGGGGGCAUCCGUUUUAGCGGAGGUCCUCUUCCAGGGGUCAGAGGGUUAGCAGCAGCAUGAUCCAAGUCAAACUCCCCUUCAGGUAAAAAUAACUUCCACGCAAGAGUACACAAGGUCUUGUCAUAGAAAUACGAAUUUGCUAGCUUAAUCUCCGAAGGUGUUGGAACACUUCCAAUGAAAAAAGGAUACAUCAAAACCUGCGCCACCACUUUCACUGGAUCCAAAAGCUUACCUGCCUCUACAGCUUUCCGAGCCACAUAAUCAGCUAUAUUCCCCCCACAACUCACUCCUAGGAGAACACACCUUGAUGGAUCCCCAUGAGCAGCCAACCAAGGCUCCACCAACGAUGCUCCAAACGCAUCAGCUAUAUGCCCAUACGUAUCAGAUUUCUUCAAAUCCGUCCCUCCACCACGUCUGCUCCCAACCGACUUACUACAUUCAGCUAAAU